GACAGAGGGUGCAAACGUUUGUUCGGAAUUACUGGGCGUAAAGCGCGUGUAGGCAGCUCGGAAAGUCGGGUGUGAAAGCCCUGGGCUUAACCUAGGAAGUGCACUCGAAACUUCCGAGCUUGAGUUCUGGAGAGGAAGGCGGAAUUCUCGGUGUAGAGGUGAAAUUCGUAGAUAUCGAGAGGAACACCGGUGGCGAAGGCGGCCUUCUGGACAGUGACUGACGCUGAGACGGCGAAAGCGUGGGGAGCAAACAGG
rnacentral:rRNA from 1 species